rnacentral:lncRNA from 1 species
CGCCGGUGGGCGCUGCAAGUCCUUAAGAAUCGCCUGGCAUCCCAUGAAAAGUCUGGCCAGCCUAUCUGUGUCAGGGAGCACUUUCAAUAUACCAUGUUUUGUCUGUUAGUCGUAAUUUGUUUUGGUGAUAAUGUCGAUGAAAACCAGAUUAAGCAAAUCGAGGAAGCUCAGCGACGAGCCUUUUUGAGUUUCAAUAAGUUUAAUAUACUCAAUUUAUGGCCAAGAGUGACCAAGAUCGUGUUGCGUAGGCGUUGGGAGGAAUUCUAUCAGCUUCGUAAAUGCCAGCUAGACGUAUCAAUUCCAUUAAUAAGAACAAGAAAGAAUAUGCAAGAGGAAGACAGGAAAAGCAUGGAACCUCAUCAUGAUCGUGCUUUAUGUUAUGUCGAUACAUUAUUAUCUCUGGAAUUUCCCGAUGAAGAAAGAAAAAUCAAUGAGGAGGAGAUUGCUAAUUUAUGCAGCGAGUUUCUAAAUGCGGGCACUGAUACGACUACAACUUCCCUGGAAUGGAUCAUGGCAAAUUUGGUCAAAUACCCAAAAAUCCAAGACAGGUUAUUCAUGGAGAUUAAAGAGGUUGUUGGAAAUGGAGAUCAGGAGGAGGUAAGCGAAUCUGAUCUGAAAAGGAUGCCGUAUUUGAAAGCAGUGGUCUUGGAAGGCCUGAGGCGGCAUCCUCCUGCACGUCUCUUGAUUCCACAUGCAGUGAUGGAGGAUGUUGUUUUGAAUAAUGAAUAUUUGAUACCAAAGAACGCGGCCAUAAAUUUCCUAGUUGCUGAGAUGGGGUGGGAUCCAGAGGCGUGGGAAGAUCCACUAACAUUCAAGCCGGAAAGGUUUCUGAAUCAUGAUAAUGGAAUUAGGCAAGAGUUUGAUAUCACAGGGAGCAGAGAGAUCAAAAUGAUGCCAUUUGGUGCUGGGAGGAGAAUCUGUCCAGGCUACCAAUUAGGAAUGCUUCAUUUGGAGUAUUAUGUGGCUAAUUUAGUUUGUAAAUUUGAGUGGAGGGCUGUGGAUGGAGAUGGUGUUGAUUUGUCUGAGAAGGCAGAGCGUACAAUGGUGAUGAAGAAUCCAUUGCGGGUCCGCAUAUCGCCGAGGUAAUCGAGUGUGCCGUGCGGACAUUGGAAAUGGCAUAUCCACUUAUUGCGGGUCAACUGAUCGCCGAGGUCGAUGAAGAUGACGUGUAGAAAUGGCAUUUCCACUUGUUGCAGGUCCACUAAUAAAGAAAUUGCUUUAUAUUUAUUUGAUUCAUGUUUACAUAAACACAAAAGCAAAGCUCUUAAUCAUCACAAUAACAAGAGUAAAACAUGAGCUUAUGAAUAUGAAUAAUAAUUUAUUUUUUAAAUUAUAAGUCUAGGAGUAAAUCUAUAGAAAGACCAUAGAGAACAUGUGUUUCACAUUUUCUCAAUCAAGAGAAACAUUCCAUAUGGGUCAUAAAAAUAGGUAGAUAGUAGAGUAACUAACAAGGUUGCUUAAUGACAAAUCAGGAUUAAAGCAACCAAUACAUGUCUCAUAACUUUAAAUCUUUUCUUCCUAGCAACCAAACAAAUAGUACACAAUCACAACAACUAAAAGAAUAAAAAAAUUAAUACUUUAUCACUUUCUAAACUUUAAUGUUGCUAAGAUAUUCAUCAAUAGAGUAAAAAAGAUUGAACCUUUAUGUUUUCUAUCUGAAAUUCAAGAAACCAGAAAGAAAUCUUAGUGAUAUAUCUACUUGUAAAAAGAUUGAUUUUGAUUUGAGUAAAUUUAUGGCCUUAACCUAAAAAUAAAAACACCUUAAAUUAUUCAUCCAUUGAUAAAUAAGUAAAGCAAGUAUUGGAAUAAAAAGCACUUACCUAAUUGAAUUUUAUUGAUUUCUAAUAAUUUCUAGUGUUUGUUGAUAGGAUUAUAAUAGAGAGAGUUAAGUGUUGUCUGAGUGUGUGUGUGAGUGUGUGUGUGUGCAGAGAGAGGGAGAGAGUUUGUAGGUGAUAGAAAAGAGAGUUUAUUUCUUAAUUAUACAACUGGAAUGGAACAAGGGUGAGAAACCAAAACAUCUCGAUCAGAAUUUGGGUGAGAAAUCCAGAAUGACCCGGGAUCUUGAGCGAGAUAAAAUUUGUUUUACUUUGUUUUAUUUUUAAAAAUUGUACGAGAUACACUAGCCAUUUUGAUCAGAAUAUAAUGGAAUUGACAACCUUGCUCAUAACGAUAAGGUGUGAUAGAUAACAAGAUCUAAAAAUGAUGAGUGAUAUUUGCAACAAAAAAAGUCUUUAUAUAUUUAUUUAUUUUUACAAAAAAGCAAAGUUUCAACUUUACAAGGAAAGAAUCUUUUAAAGAAUAUUACCAUUCCCGGAUUGAUUCUUUAAUAAAAAGUAAAACCUUAUAUUUUAAAAAAAAUAAAAAAACUUCCACUUUUUGUGAGCAUGACCUUUUUAAGGAUUAUAGUUUGUUUGUUUUUUUUUUAAAUUAUUUAUAUUUUCUGAAAGCCACCAAACUUUCAACUUCUCAUGAAUAAAAUCAUUUUAAGGAUUAUAUCAUUCACGAGUUAAUUCUUUAUUUACUUUAAAAAAAAAAAAUAAAGACUCAACUUCUGUAGGACAUAAGCCCUUUAAGAAUUAUACCAUCCUUAAAUCAAUUUUUGGAUCAACAAACAUCACACAAGAAGAAACCAAAGACCCAUGCAAUCACAAUAUUAGGACACAAAACCUCACAUUAAUUAAGGGAUACAUACACACAUUAAAAUUAAUAAUAUAUUAUAAAUUAAUCUAAAUAGAUAAAUCGAUGCAUUAGGGUUGGAAAUUAACCUUUGGGGAGCUGCUAGAGUUGACUAGAAAGCACUGGAAAUUGGCCUGGCAGUGAAAACACAUGGGUUGCACAUGCAGGCAAACAAACUAGAUUAUGAAGCGUCGUUGCAUGUUGCAUGUGUCGGCAAAGUGAGAAGGCUUAUGGGUUAAUAAAUUAUGAGCUCCUUUUCUUCUUCCUUCCUACACACCACCACCAUCAUCACUCGUGGUCGAAGAUUGGGUCAAGGACUCUUUUGGUCUUUCUUCUAUCUCUCGGUUCUAUCUUCCUCUUCGAUGAUGUUUUUAUCAUUACUGCUGUGUGAUGAUGUGAUUCAAUUUUUAUGGUGGCUCGUGGUAGAAUGAGGGCUGUGGAUGGAGAAUCUGUCCAGGUUACCAAUUAGCAAUGCUCCAUUUGGAGUAUUAUGUGGCUAAUUUAAUUUGUAAAUUUGAGUGGAGGGCUGUGGAUGGAGAUGAUGUUGAUUUGUCUGAGAGGACAGAGCGUACAAAUGGUGAUGAAGAAUCCAUUGCGUGUCCGCAUAUCGCCGAGGUAGUCGAGUUUGCCGUGUGGAAAUUGGAAAUGCCAUUUCCACUUAUAAUCUUCGAGGUCGAUGAAUGGG